GUUGAAGCUGCAGUAAGUGAUAAUCGGAUAUCUUUUCACCUUCUUAUAUUUUGGCAACAUGACUCUGUUCAGUGAAGUUUUUAAUAUUUUUGUUGUUUUGUUUGCAUGUAAAUUCUUCCCAUGAAUUAUGUAUCAAAGUAGCUAAUCAUGAUGCUAAAAGGACAAAGUGGGCUGAUUUAUUGUUCUCAACUUACUGGUUUCUAAUGAGACAAGUUAACAUGUUCGCUUAGGACACAACUGACUAUGUAUAAAUAUUCAUUGUAAUUCUGUGAUAUCUGUUUACUGAGUGGGAAGCCAUUUGCUUUAUAAUUCGGCCAAAAGAAUUUAAUACCUUCCAUUGCGGUCCUUUCAGUCAAA
rnacentral:misc_RNA from 1 species